rnacentral:rRNA from 1 species
AGCAGCCGCGGUAAUUCCAGCUCCAAUAGCGUAUAUUAAAGUUGUUGCAGUUAAAAAGCUCGUAGUUGAAUUUCGGGAUCAAUACGUCGGUCGUGCCUCUGGUAUGAACUGGUGUUAUUGAUUCCUCCUUUCUGAUAAACCAUGAUGUCAUUAAUUUGGUGUUGUGGGGAGUCAGGACUGUUACUUUGAAAAAUUAGAGUGUUUAAAGCAGGCCUACGCUUGAAUACAUUAGCAUGG